AUCCCAUGAUGAGGACACUUACGAAGUAACUCCUUAAAUCCCUCCCAAGCCUCAUACAAAGACUCGUCAUCCAAUUUUUAGAAAGUUGUGGUCUCAUUCUGUAACACC
rfam:Gossypium raimondii chromosome 1, whole genome shotgun sequence.